rnacentral:misc_RNA from 1 species
AGGAACUGGAUCUACUCUUGUAACUCUGCAUUUCCAUCAUCCAGUUUUGUUAAUAAAUAAUUGACAUACAAACAUUAACGAGUAAUAUCAUCAAUUACAUACUUUGCACAUUAUAAGACAUAACUUUAAGCAAAUAGAUUCAUUAUAAAUAAUUUGACGAUUAGAAGCCAGAAUUCUUAUAUACUCCAGCUUCACAUAUUUCGUGUGGUUAUUCACCAAUAGCUGAGUACUUUUCAUUAGCCUAAAAACAAAAAGGGCCAAAGCUAAAAAAGAAAAGAAAAAAAAAAAACAACAAUAACAAUUACUCUCUCUCCCACUCUCGCUAAUUCUCUCCUUUUCUCUCUUUUUCUUCUCUCUCUCCCUCUUCUCUUCUUCUUCUUCCCUACUCUGCUUCUUUCCCUUGUUCCUCUUCCAUUUCCUUCUCCUUUAAUUCUGGAUUUUGGAGACAUUUGGAACCUUGCUACGCAACAUAGUCUCAUUAUUACUCAAUUUCUGGUGCAUAGAUCAAGGUCUCUUGUUGUUGUAACCCUGUUAUUGCAUAUCCUUGAAUACAUGCAGCUUAGUAUUUUCUGGCUUGUGGGCUACAUGGUUCAUUAACACAGAAGCCAUGGUCGUUUAAAUGGAAACAUUCGAUGUACUCUCAUACUCAUUGUUGUUUAAACUCCAUUAAUCAAGAUGUAUAAAAAGAGAAAAUGAUGAAAUUUGUACUUUGCCUGGCAGUAAAGGGAAUUCAAGCCUUUACAACAUACGGACAAAAUUUUAUAGGAAUUUCAGAAGGAUGAGGUGCCUGAUGAAACAAAGUUUCUAUUUGAUCAACUUGGACAGCAGAAUGAUCUAAGUAGAUAAUAGAGAGGAGCAAAAAUAUAGUGUGUUGUACGUCAUUAACUCUGCAUGAUUUUCUGUAUUUGAUCUCCUCUGUGCUUCUGUCAUCUCAAAAUUUGUUGGACAAUGUGGUUGAGGGUGCCUUGGAAAUUGAAAAUUGGUUUUAUGCUAGGCCGCUAGCAUCUAUAUAUUAUAAAAGGGAAUGGAGAAACUUUCUAAUAUGCUUCUUUUCUUCCCAAAAUUUUCCACUAGGAAGUUGUCUAAUAUGCUAUUCAAAAUUCACUUGCACUCUUCUUUUCCCAUUGUCAGGCUGAAGAGCAAGCAGCUGGACGAGAUGGUGAGUCCAUGAAUGUGGAUGUAUUGGCAAUUUUCCUUUCCAUAGGUGUUUUUAUUGUUUACUUGCUUUUGUGCUUAUU